GAUGAACGCUAGCGGCAGGCUUAACACAUGCAAGUCGAGGGGUAACAGGGAGCUUGCUCUGCUGACGACCGGCGCACGGGUGCGUAACGCGUAUACAAUCUGCCUUACACUAAGGGAUAGCCCAGAGAAAUUUGGAUUAAUACCUUAUAGUUUAUUAGAAUGGCAUCAUUUUAAUAAUAAAGAUUACGGUGUAAGAUGAGUAUGCGUCCCAUUAGUUUGUUGGUAAGGUAACGGCUUACCAAGACUACGAUGGGUAGGGGCCCUGAGAGGGGGAUCCCCCACACUGGUACUGAGACACGGACCAGACUCCUACGGGAGGCAGCAGUGAGGAAUAUUGGACAAUGGGCGAGAGCCUGAUCCAGCCAUGCCGCGUGCAGGAAGACGGUCCUAUGGAUUGUAAACUGCUUUUAUACAGGAAGAAUAAGGACUACGUGUAGUCUGGUGACGGUACUGUAAGAAUAAGGACCGGCUAACUCCGUGCCAGCAGCCGCGGUAAUACGGAGGGUCCGAGCGUUAUCCGGAAUUAUUGGGUUUAAAGGGUCCGUAGGCGGGCUAUUAAGUCAGGGGUGAAAGUUUGCAGCUCAACUGUAGAAUUGCCUUUGAUACUGAUAGUCUUGAAUUAUUGUGAAGUGGUUAGAAUAUGUAGUGUAGCGGUGAAAUGCAUAGAUAUUACAUAGAAUACCGAUUGCGAAGGCAGAUCACUAACAAUAUAUUGACGCUGAUGGACGAAAGCGUGGGUAGCGAACAGGAUUAGAUACCCUGGUAGUCCACGCCGUAAACGAUGGAUACUAGCUGUUCGGUUUUCGGACUGAGCGGCCAAGCGAAAGUGAUA
rnacentral:rRNA from 1 species